AUUGAACGCUGGCGGCAGGCUUAACACAUGCAAGUCGAGCGGAAACGAUGUAGCUUGCUACAGGCGUCGAGCGGCGGACGGGUGAGUAACGCGUAGGAAUCUGCCUAGUAGUGGGGGACAACAUGUGGAAACGCAUGCUAAUACCGCAUACGCCCUACGGGGGAAAGGAGGGGAUCUUCGGACCUUUCGCUCUUAGAUGAGCCUGCGUAAGAUUAGCUAGUUGGUAAGGUAAAGGCCUACCAAGGCGACGAUCUUUAACUGGUCUGAGAGGAUGGCCAGUCACACUGGGACUGAGACACGGCCCAGACUCCUACGGGAGGCAGCAGUGGGGAAUAUUGGACAAUGGGCGCAAGCCUGAUCCAGCCAUGCCGCGUGUGUGAAGAAGGCCUUAGGGUUGUAAAGCACUUUCAGGGGUGAGGAAGGGUGUUUGGUUAAUAUCCAAACAUUUUGACGUUAGCCCCAGAAGAAGCACCGGCUAACUCUGUG
rnacentral:rRNA from 1 species